UCACGUUGUCCGGACUCUAAUUCAAAUUGUAUUCAUCCGAUCUUCACCAAACUUGGUCAGCAGUUGCAUCUAGUUGAUAUCUAGGCCAAGUUCGAAUAUGGGUCAUGCCGGGUCAAAAACUAGGUCAUAGGGUCAAUAAGUGCAUUUUCAAAGGGGCCACUUUGUCCGGACUCUAAUUCAAAUUGUAUUCAUCCGAUCUUCACCAAACUUGGUCAGCAGUUGCAUCUAGUUGAUAUCUAGGCCAAGUUCGAAUAUGGGUCAUGCCGGGUCAAAAACUAGGUCAUAGGGUCAAUUAGUGCAUUUUCAACGGCGCCACUUUGUCCGGACUCUAAUUCAAAUUGUAUUCAUCCGAUCUUCACCAAACUUGGUCAGUAGUUGCAUCUAGUUGAUAUCAAGGUCAAGUCCGAAUAUGGGUCAUGCUGGGUCAAAAACUAGGUCAAAGGGUCAAUUAGUGCAUUUUACUUUGUCCGGACUCUAAUUCAAAUUGUAUAAAUCUUAUCUUCACCAAACUUGGUCAGUAGUUGCAUCUAGUUGAUAUCUAGGCCAAGUUCGAAUAUGGGUCAUGCCAGGUAAAAAACUAGGUCAUCGGGUCAAUUAGUCCAUUUUCAACAGCGCCACUUUGUCCGGACUCUUAUUCAAAUUGUAUUCAUCCGAUCUUUACCAAACUUGGUCAGUAGUUGCAUCUAGUUGAUAUCUAGGUCAAGUUCGAAUAUGGGUCAUGUCGGGUCAAGAACUAGGUCAUAGGGUCAAUUAGUGCAUUUUCAACGGCGCCACUUUGUCCGGACUCUAAUGCAAAUUGUAUUCUUUCGAAACUUUUAAACAACUUUUUAUCCUGCGUCAAAGUGGUAUGGGGGUAUAAGUCACAUUCAGUGACAAAGCUCUAGUUCAAGUUGAAUUCACCAAACUUGGUCAGAGGUAGUAUAUAGAUUAUAUAUCAGUCAGGUCUGAUUGGAGACAUGCAACCGAUUAACACAUGCAAUAUUUUUAUGCAAUAUUUUUAUCCAGUUUUAUUUUGCGAUAUUUUCAUCGGGUUUAUUUUUUUCGCGAUUUUUGAAACGAGUUAUUUUUAACAACAUGUUUAUUGGUAAGUUUCAUU